UGUCCCAAAGGAAAGUAGGGAUCACAGAGAAGGAGGGGGCAAGGAGUCCAGAUGACAUCAUUUGGACUCCUGAAUCCAGCUAUACCUGAAGCCAUUCCCAACCCUUAUACUGCUCAGUUAUAAGGAACCAAUAUAUCUCCUUUUCUUUCCUCACAGUGGUUUGAUUUAAAUUUAUAUUACUUGCCAAAACAAAAACAACAAAAACAAACAAACAAAAAAACGCCUUGACAACAAUGGAAGUUAAGGGAGAGAGGUGGUAACAGGGUUGGACAGGAAGGGUGGUCUUUGAUGACUCUGAAAGCCUGCAGGGAAGUUUGCCUUGUUAUGAUACAAACUAGAGAAUGCAGCAGUGCCUGGAGCAGAGCGAUAACAUCAGGAACUAAAGUCCCCACCCAGGUGGAGGAAGGAAUGAUGAUGUGGACCCUCGUGACUUCUAUCAACUAAAGCUUGGACUCUGUCGACCUUUGCCCCAAUUCUAUGCUGAAUUCUCCUCUGCUCAAGCCCAUUCAUGAAUGUGCAUGGACCCUUAGCUUAAAACUUCCCCAAUCUUGCUAUUUGGGGAGACACUGAUCCCCAGUGUUCUCCUUACUUGCUGCAAGUAAUAAUAAAUCCUUCCUUCUCCAGAUCUUUGACUCGGUUGUGUCUAUUGGCUCAACACCCGCCAAGAGGUGAACCCAGUUUUCGGGUAACAGAGCCCCUUGUUCAGAACUUACUAAGAAUUUCAAGAUGGUGACAGCAGAGCAUUAAAGGGAUCUUGGGCCCCGUGACUGCACUUGCCAUGGAGCUGGCACUGUCUGUGGGGCAAGAGGAACUAGAUGAGGAUUUUCACAGGGUGUUCUGUA